rnacentral:rRNA from 1 species
AGAGUUUGAUCCUGGCUCAGGACGAACGCUGGCGGCGUGCUUAAUACAUGCAAGUCGAGCGAGGUUACUGUUUCGGAUCCCUUCGGGGUGAAGAAGCUUUAACCUAGCGGCGGACGGGUGAGUAACGCGUGGGUAACCUACCCCAAAGUCCGGGAUAACAGCGGGAAACCGCUGCUAAUACCGGAUGCCUUUACCUUGGGGCAUCUUGAGGUAAAGAAAGGCAACGCUUUGGGAUGGGCCCGCGUCCCAUUAGCUAGUUGGUGAGGUAACGGCUCACCAAGGCGACGAUGGGUAGCCGGCCCGAGAGGGUGGACGGCCACACUGGGACUGAGACACGGCCCAGACUCCUACGGGAGGCAGCAGUAGGGAAUAUUGCGCAAUGGACGGAAGUCUGACGCAGCGACGCCGCGUGAGCGAUGAAGGUCUUCGGAUCGUAAAGCUCUGUCCUUGGGGAAGAAGGCGAAAGCUUGACGGUACCCAAGAAGAAAGCCCCGGCUAACUACGUGCCAGCAGCCGCGGUAAUACGUAGGGGGCGAGCGUUGUCCGGAAUUACUGGGCGUAAAGGGUGCGUAGGCGGCCCUUUAAGUCGGAUGUGAAAGCCCGCGGCUUAACCGCGGAAUGGCAUUCGAAACUGGAGGGCUUGAGUGUCGGAGAGGGUAGUGGAAUUCCCAGUGUAGCGGUGAAAUGCGUAGAUAUUGGGAGGAACACCAGUGGCGAAGGCGACUACCUGGACGAUAACUGACGCUGAGGCACGAAAGCUAGGGGAGCAAACAGGAUUAGAUACCCUGGUAGUCCUAGCCGUAAACGAUGGGUACUAGGUGUGGGUGGUUUCGAUACCAUCCGUGCCGUAGUUAACGCAUUAAGUACCCCGCCUGGGGGAGUACGUGCGCAAGCAUGAAACUCAAAUGAAUUGACGG